ensembl:snRNA U4 U4 spliceosomal RNA
AUCUCUGCGCAGUGGCAGUAUCGUAGCCUAUGAGGUUUAUCCGAGGCGUGAUUAUUGCUAGUUGAAAACUUUACCCAAUACCCCGCCUAGACGACUUGAAAUAUAGUCGGCGACGGCAAUUUUUGACGGUCUCUACGGAGA